UCACCUGUUUUGUAUCUUAAAGUCCACAUACGACGAAUUUUGCUCAAACAUUUCUAAUUUUUAAAAAAAUUUUUUUUUCAACGUUUAUUUAUUUUUGGGACAGAGAGAGACAGAGCAUGAACGGGGGAGGGGCAGAAAGAAAGGGAGACACAGAAUCGGAAACAGGCUCCAGGCUCUGAGCCAUCAGCCCAGGGCCCGAAGCGGGGCUCGAACUCACGGACCGCGAGAUCGUGACCUGGCUGAAGUCGGACGCUUAACCGACUGUGCCACCCAGGCGCCCCAAACAUUUCUAAUUUUUAAAUUCCUCUUUGUCAAAGGCCAUCUCUAACCAGUUUGGUUCAACCCCUCCUCUUUUCUUUUAGCUCGACAAUUUUCCCUUCAAACCCACUUGACAAGUGAAAGAAUAUUCCCUGAUGUUCUCUUUGCAUCUGCUUUCGGCUGACAAUGACUGCUCCUUGAGGGAACCUUGAGGGUCUGUGAUGCUGGAAGGGGACCAAGAGCCACAAGACAAGGAGGUUAGCGCCCCGGAGGAGCAUGUUGCGGGUACACGUGGAGACUCUGGGCCCUGUGUCCCCAGCUUCCUGUCCCCGUUCGGCCUCGGCAAAGCUAGGUGACCCUACCAAAGAUAUUUAACGCCGUCUGACCCUACUACACCUGUUGUCCAACCUCUAGGCGUCAACUUCCUCAUUUGGAAAAUCCGAAUAAGCCUAGCGCUCCCCCCUCCUGGGUUUGUUGUGAGAACGAAAUAAGAUGACGACAUCACAUCACACCGCCAGAGAUAAAGGAGGAUAAGAGGAGAUCCUCAGAUGAGGAGCCCAGGACGCGGCAGGAUUCUGGGAGGGACGAGAGACUGCGAACAUUUCUGCUGACUCGGUGCCCUCGCCCUGGAAUCGGCAAGUGGCUUUUCUCCCAGGCGCCCUUGUGUGUGUGUGUUGGGGGGGGGGGGUCUUUUGCUGGUGCCCUCGCCUUGCAAUCGGCAAAUAGCUUUUCUCCCAGGCGCCCUUGUGUGUGUGUGGGGGGGGGGGGUCUUUUGCUGGUGUCCCUGAUCAACAGAUUCUUUAACUCAGGCCGAAUCUUUCAGUGGAACACCAUAGAGUUUGCAAAGGAGCUUUCGGAAGCUGAGGGUAAAACUCACGUCGACCACAGGGUUUCUGCGGCCAGCAGGAGACGCUCUGGUCCACGCAGGUGGAGCCAACAUGUCUAGCCUUCAUGGCCUGUGCGCUAAGCAGGGAGGAUGCCGCACCCUCUGGGGGCUCUCCUCAUGGACUCCCGAAGAAGUGCUCUCUCCGAAGAAAGAAUUCCAAACAGCUCCUAAGAAUUUAAAAGUGCAUUCGAAAGUGGUGCUCUUUUCAGAAAGAAAAAUUCCAAAUUCCCCAACGAUAUCCAAACAGGAAUUUGUUGC
rnacentral:lncRNA from 1 species